CCUACGGGUGGCUGCAGUGAGGAAUAUUGGUCAAUGGGCUCACGCCUGAACCAGCCAAGUCGCGUGAGGGAAGACUGUCCUAUGGAUUGUAAACCUCUUUUGUCAGGGAGCAACAGACGCCACGCGUGGCGUUCCGAGAGUACCCGAAAAAAAAGCAUCGGCUAACUCCGUGCCAGCAGCCGCGGUAAUACGGAGGAUGCGAGCGUUAUCCGGAUUUAUUGGGGUUAAAGGGUGAGCAGGCGGAAGGUCACGUCCGCGGGAAAAUUGAGAGGCUCAACCUCUGCGCGCCGUUGAAACGGGUUUUCGUGAGUGAGUGAGAAGUAUGCGGAAUGCGUGGUGUAGCGGUGAAAUGCAUAGAUAUCACGCAGAACUCCGAUUGCGAAGGCAGCAUACCGGCGCUCAACUGACGCUCAUGCACGAAAGUGUGGGUAUCGAACAGGAUUAGAGACCCUGGUAGUC
rnacentral:rRNA from 1 species